UACGGAGGGAGCUAGCGUUGUUCGGAAAUACUGGGCGUAAAGCGCACGUAGGCGGCGCAGCAAGUCAGGGGUGAAAUCCCGGGGCUCAACCCCGGAAUAGCCUUUGAGACUGCAUCGCUAGAAUUGUGGAGAGGUAAGUGGAAUUCCGAGUGUAGAGGUGAAAUUCGUAGAUAUUCGGAAGAACACCAGUGGCGAAGGCGACUUACUGGACACAUAUUGACGCUGAGGUGUGAAAGCGUGGGGAGCGAACAGG
rnacentral:rRNA from 1 species